GCUCCAAUCUUAGAAAGGUUAGUGACAAGAAUACCCGAAGGAAUAUUUUUUUUUACAAUUAUCCUUAUAUGCUUAAUACACAAGGUAAUGUUGCAAAUAAUUAAAGGCUCAUGUUACGAUCUGAUCAAUGCUUAUUUUAAGACACUAAGCUUGUCCUUGGGAAACCAUCAGUUUAUGUUGGCGAAGUGGUUUCCCCUCCGACGCCAACCUAUUUCUAGAUCAACUCAACGAGAUCUGCAAUAUUUAUUAUAGACAUAUGCAUCGACAACCGCCCUUUUAAAGUUUUUAUAAAUAGAAAGGAAGAGGGGGUUGGAGAUCUCAAGUGUGGUGAUGUCGGAGAGACCAAUAGAUUGGGAAGAUGUUGCAUAUGAGCAUGGAGUAAACAAAGUGGCUAUGAAAUAAAUUCCAUGCUCAUUAAUGUUAUCUUCGUCUCCAAUCUGAAUGUUCAGAGUUUCUCCUAGAUUGGUCUCACCUAUGUCCUCUUCUGUAGUUGGAUGAAUCUCAUCUUCAAAAGGAGUCAAGAACUCACCAUUUGAAAUUGAGCCAAAGUCAGAACCCAUUAAGGCUUCUUCCUUAUCCAUCCAUUCUACACAUUCUAGCCAUUUAGAACUUGUGAUCAAAAUAGGGGAGGUGUUAGAAUUUUCUAUAUGGCUUAGCUCUCCUUCACUUGAUAUGUCAUCCUCGACUUCUUCAUGAUAGGAACCAGGACAUUCUCUAAGAGAAACAUUAUUGCAAUGAUUUGAAUUAUCCCUGCUUGAAGGUCUCUUAUAAAACCAGAAGUCUAAACCAUCAGCAUCUAAAAGAUUUAAGGUCGGAAUUCCUUCCUCCCUUGGAGAAUUUUGGGGUAUUGAAGGUUUAGGAUCGAUAGCUAAAGUUCGGGAUUGAAGUGGUUGUGAUCUGGCUAUCGAAACUUCUUCUUCUUGUCUAGGAACUGGUUCUUUCUCUUUCUCAGGGAUAUAAAAGCUAGGAGACUUUCCGCUCAUUAAAUCAAUCAAAUUCCAAGCUUCACUAGCGGAUAGGUGGUGGAAGGAUCCUCCAGAGGCCGCAUGAAGGGUUUGCUUAUUUUCCCUACUAAGGCCCUCAAAAAAGUGAAUUAGAAGAACUUCUUCUGGAAUAGAAAGUUUUGGGCCAGUGAGAGUAAGGUUAAUAAAGCGGUCCCAUGAUUUGCCAAGAGAUUCUUCUUCCAGUUGUCUAAAAGAAAGAAUCUCACGCCGAAGUUCCACCACUUUGGAGAUUGGAAAACAUUUAGAAAGAAAACUACUAUAUAACUCCUUCCAAUCUCCAUGAACACUCCCUACUUUGAGUUUAUACCAAUGUCUAGCUUUUCCCGUUAAAGAGAACGGAAAGAGCUUCCAUUUAAGGGUCUCAUCGGACAUGCCUUCUAUGCGAAGGAGGUCACAGACUCGAUAAAACUCUCUUAGGUGUGUGUAUGGGUUUUCCUCACCUUCUCCUGAGAAAGGUUGUUUUUGAAUAAAUUCUAUGUAUUCGGGGUCUAUCUCAAAACUAGAUGCUAUGAUAGGCUUUGAAGAUUUUGGUGGUUCGAGAUGUGUGCCCAUAGGUCUAUGAAAUUCAUAGAUAGACAUGUUUGAAUUCAUAAUAGACCAGAGAUCAAGGAUUAGAUAAGAAGAAAGAAUAGCAGAGAUGAGGCAAAGGAUAAAAGGAAAAUAUUUUUAUUAUUAUUUUUUUUAUAAAAUGAUUAAACUAGUUCGUAGUCAACUCAGCAACCGUUUCCCCGGCAACGGCGCCAAAAAUGCUUGUUGACACUUGCUAACACCACUUGAAUACUAGGUUGUCAUCCCCAGCAUGGCACUAGAGUGUACUAUGGUAUUUAUACGCACACAGAUAAUCCGCAAGCGCACGGAUACCGUUGAAGCUUUUACCCGGUUAAAGAUUUUAUCGUAUCCACAGGGAAACGGGAGAACUGAUCUACGCUCUAACUUAACCAAGAUAAGUAAAUAGGUGUGAAUAGGAAAGAUGGUAGAAUCGAAUAAGAACAAUAUUAAAGGUAAGAUAACAGUGAGUGAUAAUAUGGGAAUAGAGAGUAGAGCAAUUCUAGUAUAUGGGCGAUGGUAGCAGAAUAGAGAGGAUAACUAUGGUUUCUCUACUUCAAAGGGGUAUGUCUAUGUCUGGGACGAACCGCGUGAUAAGAGUACACCACAAAGGAUGCUUAUCCAUAGGCCGAUAAACCCUACCCGUCCUGCUAACGAGAGGUGGACUACAGGGGACCAACGUAACUGUCACCUACGCGGCCUACCACACGAUCCAGCUAGCCAGGGGAUAUCCACAAGUAAUCUAGGUCUAAGCACCACGCUUACACCUAUACUACAACUCUAACCUAUAGGGUCCUAUAGAUUAGAAGUACUCAAAAGAGUUGUGAACCAGAACAUACAUGAUUAGUAAUUGCAUAAUGAAUUAGAAGUAGAUUACCAGAGUCAUCCCAUGAGCAAGCUUGAUUAGAGCUUGAUCAUGACGAAGUACAACCGGAGGAAGAACCGACAGGCCGGCCUCUCCUCUAAUCCUCCUUCGCUCUCCAUCUCGCUACUAUCUAGAUCUACUCUAGUUUAGAGAAGAGAGGAGAGCUCUCAUCUCUAAACCCUAGGUUUUGCUCUGUCUAUGAAUAAUGAAUAAUGAUCAAGGGGUGCCUCUUCUAGGGGCCAGGGGGUCUACUUUUAUAGUCCCCUCAAGUGAACCUGGGCCGUCGGAUCAAACCGACAUUGAUUGAACGGUUAUUCUUGAUCCUUUAGGUCGGUGGAGCAUAAUCCGCGAGAUUGAGCAUGAUUGGCCGAAAAAGGUGGGCGGGCGCCCUAAGGACUUGGGCGGGCGCCCUGUCCCUGACUCCGUUCGGUCUCCGCUUCCUUCCCGUGGCUUCUGGAGUCUUCUAGAUGUAAUAUAAUUGCGCGGCACGUUGAUAUCUCUAUGUAAUCCCGACGUGUGGGUCUUUCUUCCUUAUUUCCUGAUAAUCCCCUGCAGAAAUAGACAAACACCAAAACUCGUGGAAUUCUGUCAGAUAAAACCCUAAGUCUUGAUGUUGAUUUCAUUUGGAUCCUUUUCUUUGUUUAUUUGAUAGUUAAAUUUGAUACUUAAGGACCGUCAACAAACUCCCCCAAGCUUACCUCUUGCUCGUCCCUGAGCAAGGAUAGACUCAGCAAUGGAUCAGAAGUUGUUGCAAUAUCUUAAAAAUUUGACGGUAGACAUGCUUUUUAAAUAAGUUCUCAUCUCUGAGUUAGAGUAAACUGUCAAGAACUAAAACUUACUUACUUUACCUUUCACCAUGGGACUUGUAACCGUCACUUCUGUCUUGAGUAGUUAAAAGAUAGAACAGUCUAGCCAAGUGCCAUGUCUCUUAUUCUUGAUCACCUAUAGCUCUGGAGUUUUUGCAGAUUUUCAAAUAAAACUCAGAGAUUCCUUUGUAUGACUCUCUCAUAUCUCUCUUUUGUGGUAUUUCUGGAUCCUUACCAAGGCAGUGAUGGUAUAUGCCUUCUCUCAAAAUAUGUGGUAUUUGUGGUAUAAGGCAUAGUGACAUUGCCUUCUCUCUCACCCUACUCUAAUAAGGCUUUAAUAUCUGGAGCUCAUAGGUGGGAGAUAAGGUAUACAUACUUACAAGACAUUUAUUGUAUAGUCAAACCAUGGAUCCAAAGAAACAAAUCAAUAAGCCAAAUCAAGAUGUGCAUGUGUGGCGAAUGAAUGGUGUAUAGUGAUGAUGGUGAUAACAAUGGUGAAAGUCUAAUUCUACUUUUGCUCUUAUGAGGGGAUACAUACAUUUCCUUUCUUUUUGAAACUUUAUGAGGAGAAUGAGAUGCUCUUCUUUUUCUUUCCUCUCAGGUGGGUAUCUUGUACCCCUAAUUCUACUGUCGGACACUUGUCCAUUUUUACCACUCGUCUCACUUUUUCUUUCUUUCGAGGUUCCGGGCACUUGCCCCUUUUUAUUUCCUCGUUUAUUAUUAUUUUUUUCUUUUCUUCUCUCUUGUUUUCUUCUUUUUUUUUCAGAGCACUCAUCUCCUAAAAUAAUGUAGCAAGUGGUAGUAACCAAAAUAACUGGAGCAUUUAUUUCACAGGGAAUAACAGGGAUAGGAAAAUGUUUUUGGCUAUUCUCUCCCGGAUUAGGAGUAGAAUGAUUUUGGGUGAAACUGGAGAUGGAAAUGGAUGGAUAUAUGUGGAUGGUACUUCCGAAGUAGAAGUAGCAUAUAUGAGUGAACGUGCAAGUGAAUCUUGAUUUAACCACAAGACAAGCUCCUAAGGGUCUACACAGCUUGACCACACUCAAUGCUCAUAAGCAGUAAAUAAAUGUGUGGCUCAAAGUCUAGCAAGCAUGUAUAUAUGGCUGUGGUAGGAAUUUAAACUUUCAUCAUACAGGAACUCAUCAUGCAAUAUUUUAAAGAUUUUCAAAGAUAAAAUUCUCCAGAAUUCUAGCAUCUCUAGGAAUAGAUAAACAGCAGCUCAACCUUCCCAUAUCAUAUCUGUUAACAACUUAGAUUUCAGAUCAAGUUUUCAUCCCACAAGUUUAGAUCUAGAGCAAGCUUUAAAUUAUAACAGUUAUGUCUAAACUUGAGAGAGAACUUCAAAUUUGCAAAUUAGGCAGAGCAACUAUUUAUCAUAUCCAUGCUAGAGUUUUAUUAUUAAGAUUCAGAUUAGCAUAGCCACUUUAUUUAUUUAUUAAACACACUAAGCAAAAGAUAUAUAUAUAAGCACAAAAUCUUUAUUUGGUUUUCAUAGUUUAUGUAUUUUAAUAUUCUAAUAUAAGUAUAAAGAUAGGUAGAAAUACUUAGCGAGAUAAAUGGGGGUGCUCUCCCCCAAGCUGAAUUUUGACGUAAUUUCUCUUGAUGUAGCUAGCAGGUGGCAGAGGUGUAUUUGAAAGUCAGCAGCAUUCUGACAGCGAUUAGAAUGUCCUCCGUCUGCUAGUUUUCUUGAUUCUUAAAUUCUGUGGAGUUCAAAUAGACAACAAAGCUUGUGGAACUAAUUAAGUGUUAGCAUAAAUAUCUAGCCUUCAUCACGUUGAGCUUCCUCAAUAAAUAUUACUCCCUGUUUUUAUAUUUUUAUUUUAUAAAGUAGAAAAGAAAUAUUUAUUUUAUUUUUAUGCCACCACAGUGAAGGUACUUAUGGGUUUUAUGCCACUCGUAUACUCACAUGGGGCUUAGUAUUUUUUAACAUUUUUAUUUUCUUUUCAAGAUAGCAUGAUUAACUAAUAAUCUAUUUAAGGAAAGUAAAUAAUUAAAGGGAAAAGGGAAUGCAGAAAGGAUAAAUAUGGAUAACUACCAAUCUUACCUUUCGGCGAGGGUUCAAUGUUUUAAGUCUUCUUGACAAGACUUCUCACCGUGUUCAUUCUUCAGGUGCGUCAUUUGAUUCAGGUGCGGACCUUGACGUCUGCACCUUUUAAUACGGUGUCACCUAUGUUCUUCGUUUGCCCAGCAGUUCGAAGUGCGGUGUUAGCAGUAUCUUGCUCAGUGUGUUUGUGCUCGUAGUGUACCUGCUCAUAGAGACAAGGCAGAGAUCAAGUGCAUGGGCCCUGUUGGUGGAAAACACCAACAGAACCAAAAGUGUAUUUGUUCUUCUCUAACCUUAAGCAUAGUGAGCAAGACAAGUUGAUGGAUGAUAAGUUCAUGAGUAUAGCACUUAUAACAUUUGUCAGAUCAGAUCACUCAACCUUAUGGAAAGAUAAUCUAUCUAUGUAUAUGUCUUUUUCUUUAUAUCUCUCAAUGAUUGAAUGUGUAACAUUUUAGCUCAUAUGAUUAGGAGUGUGGGAUCAUGGAGGUAGUACUAAGAACAAGGAUUAAAGGACUAAACAUGUUGAAUCAGUUGGGUUGGUUAAUCUAGAGUUGUAAAUCAUACACGUUUGUCUCUUUUAUUUAUAUGAAUGCCAGAACCAAGGAGAAGCUUAUAAAAGUGAAAGUCAAGUACCUUAAGAUGUUACCUUGCUCGAAGAGUGAUGGUACAGUAUCAUCUUGUGGAAGCUUUCCUUUCUUAGCGGUUGUGCGUCUUGUUUAUGUACUUUGUCUCCUUCCAUGGAUCAUCUCUGUAUGGUGAAUGAGCUAUGUCCUUCUUGUGCAAAUUGUUAAACUUCAUGUGUUGCUCUCUUCAUCUCUGAUGUGAGUUUAUCUCAGGACUUCCCAAAUUGAUAUUGAAAGUUUUUCUGCAGGGGUUAGUCCGACAAAAUAUACCAAUAUCUACUCAAGUAGUUUUUUAGUUCAAUAACCAAACUAGACUCCAUGUCUAAUCAGAUUAAGGAAGGCUAUUUAACCUAAGCACCAUGCUUAAUUUAAAUGCCAAUGGAAGUAUGGCGAGUACUUCCAAACCAACACUUGCUAGUAAAUAGAUAAAGGUAGCAUGACAGCGUUUAUAGAGAUCUACUCAAGUGGAGAUGAAGUAGUGUGAUUAGUAUUUAACAAAUUGAGCAUGUCUCAAAGGUACGGACAACCAGCAUAGCAACAUGGCAAAGGAUGUUUUUAUGUAAAGUACUCCCCCAAGCUUGAAUUUUGCAAAAUUCAAGUUUGGAUGAAUUUAAUUCAAUGUUGUAUGAUGAUUGGUUGGACAUACCUUGUGCUUGUCAUUCAUCUGAUCUUCUUGCUCCAAUCUUAGAAAGGUUAGUGACAAGAAUACCCGAAGGAAUAUUUUUUUUACAAUUAUCCUUAUAUGCUUAAUACACAAGGUAAUGUUGCAAAUAAUUAAAGGCUCAUGUUACGAUCUGAUCAAUGCUUAUUUUAAGACACUAAGCUUGUCCUUGGGAAACCAUCAGUUUAUGUUGGCGAAGUGGUUUCCCCUCUGACACCAACCUAUAUCUAGAUCAACUCAACGAGAUCUGCAAUAUUUAUUAUAGACAUAUGCAUCGACAACCGCCCUUUUAAAGUUUUUAUAAAUAGAAAGGAAGAGGGGGUUGGAGAUCUCAAGUGUGGUGAUGUCGGAGAGACCAAU
rnacentral:lncRNA from 1 species